AUUGAACGCUGGCGGCAUGCCUUACACAUGCAAGUCGAACGGCAGCACGGGGCAACCUGGUGGCGAGUGGCGAACGGGUGAGUAAUGCAUCGGAACGUACCUUUCAGUGGGGGAUAACGUAGCGAAAGUUACGCUAAUACCGCAUAUUCUGUGAGCAGGAAAGCAGGGGAUCGCAAGACCUUGCGCUGAUUGAGCGGCCGAUGGCAGAUUAGCUAGUUGGUGAGGUAAAGGCUCACCAAGGCGACGAUCUGUAGCGGGUCUGAGAGGAUGAUCCGCCACAAUGGAACUUAGACACGGUCCAGACUCCUACGGGAGGCAGCAGUGGGGAAUUUUGGACAAUGGGGGCAACCCUGAUCCAGCCAUGCCGCUUGAGUGAAGAAGGCCUUCGGGUUGUAAAGCUCUUUCGGCCGGGAAGAAAUCGCACGGGCUAAUACCCUGUGUGGAUGACGGUACCGGAAUAAGAAGCACCGGCUAACUACGUGCCAGCAGCCGCAGUAAAAC
rnacentral:rRNA from 1 species